rnacentral:rRNA from 1 species
GACAGAGGCCACGAACGUUGUUCGGAAUCACUGGGCAUAAAGCGCACGUAGGCGGCUGGGUCCGUCGGAUGUGAAAGCCCCCGGCUCAACCGGGGAAUUGCAUCCGAUACAGCCCGGCUUGAGGACGGUUGGGGUGAGUGGAACUCCUGGUGGAGCGGUGAAAUGCGUAGAUAUCAGGAGGAACACCGGUGGCGAAAGCGGCUCACUGGACCGUGACUGACGCUGAGGUGCGAAAGCUAGGGGAGCAAACGGG